rnacentral:rRNA from 1 species
UAGGGAAUCUUCGGCAAUGGACGAAAGUCUGACCGAGCAACGCCGCGUGAGUGAAGAAGGUUUUCGGAUCGUAAAACUCUGUUGUUAGAGAAGAACAAGGACGUUAGUAACUGAACGUCCCCUGACGGUAUCUAACCAGAAAGCCACGGCUAACUACGUGCCAGCAGCCGCGGUAAUACGUAGGUGGCAAGCGUUGUACGGAUUUAUUGGGCGUAAAGCGAGCGCAGGCGGUUUCUUAAGGCUGAUGUGAAAGCCCCCGGCUCAACCGGGGAGGGUCAUUGGAAACUGGGAGACUUGAGUACAGAAGAGGAGAGUGGAAUUCCAUGUGUAGCGGUGACAUGCGUCGAUAUAUGGAGGAACACCAGUGGCGAAGGCGUCUCUCUGGUCUGUAACUGACGCUGAGGCUCGAAAGCGUGGGGAGCAAACAGG